GACGAACGCUGGCGGCGUGCUUAACACAUGCAAGUCGAGCGACGCUCUUCCUUCUGGGAGAUGACGGGGCGGCGAACGGGUGAGUAACACGUGUGCAACCUGCCCCUAGCAGUGAGACAACACCGGAAAACCGAUGCUCAUACCGGGUACAAGAUCUAGCGCCAUCUCUCGAUGCCGAAAGUUUUUUCGGCGAGGGAUGGGGCCGUGGCCCAUCAGCUUGUUGGUGGGGUAAUGGCCCACCAAGACGACGACGGGUAGCCGGCCUGAGAGGGAGACCGGACAAACUGGGACUGGGACAACGCCCAGAAUCCUGCGGGAGGCGGCAGUGGGGAAUAUUGCGGAAUGGGCGGAAACCUGACGCAGAGACUGAGCGGGAAGGAUGACAGGCUUCGGGAUGUAAACCUCUUUACGCAGGGACGGAUUCUGACGGUACCUGAAGAAGAAGCACCGGCUAACUACGUG
rnacentral:rRNA from 1 species